rnacentral:misc_RNA from 1 species
AUGUCUUAAAUGGACUCGGUUAUGUUUGAAAAAUAAGUCAAGUAGCAAAAUGUCAACCAGAUCGCAACUUACGAAAGAUUUAAAUGAAUCAGUAAAAGCGUUACUUGGUAAGCAUGUGAAGAUAUUACUGAAAAACGUUGUAAAAUUGGAAACAAAGCAGGAUAAACAAGAAAAUCGUGUUCUGGUUUUUUCACCAUGUCGUCUCUUUCUUUUAACUGCCAAAGUACCCACAAGGAUCGACUGUCAUUUUCAUUAUCUAGAAAUAACAUCUAUAGAAUCCAAAAGAGCAAACCAGUUAUCUUUAAGUGUCGGAGAAAGAUAUUACAAUUUUACUACUACAGGAGCAGGUGCAGAUACUACUGAAGUAGAUGCAAUGAUUGAGGCCUUACAUACUGCAAUUCGAAAUAUCUUUCCCACUGUACCAUUAAAUUAUAUUAUAAGAAAAAUAGAGGUAAUACCAGCUAGUAGAUUACAAAGCAUUAGAGGUAGUGAAUUAGCUAGGAGUACAGAAGCUACGAGACAUACAGGACCUUGUGGUGGAUUUUCAACCCAAUAUGCAUGCAUGUGUGAUUUACAUGGUGUGCCAUAUAGGGAAGAGGUUGCUUGGGACGUUGAUACAAUAUAUCUUUCCCAUGAUACAAGAGAAUUAAAUUUGAGGGAUUUUGAUCACUUAGAUCAAAAAGAUUUGGUGCCAAUUAUUUCUGCCUUAGAAUAUAACACUUGGUUUACAAAAUUAAGGGCAUCUCAUCUUAAGUUAAGUCAUGAACCUUUAGAAAGAUUGUUGCACGUUAUGCGCAGAUCUCUUUCCAUUCAGGAACUUUAUUUAGAUAAUCUUGGAAUUAAAUGGGAUUUUGCACAUAAAUUAUCAUUAGCUCUAAUUUCUAAUGCCAAUACAAUAUUACAAACCAUUGAUUUAUCUUACAAUACUAUUGAAGAUAAAGGAGCCUCUAGCUUGUGUGGGAUAAUUGCCAAGUUAAUGCAAGGAGGCGCACAUUUAAGCGGACCUAUUGGUAAAUUACCUAAAGGUUUACAGAAAUUAAAUUUAGCACAUUGUGGACUAACGGGAAAAGGAAUAAGUCAGAUUGCACAUGCACUGAGUUUAAAUAGAAGCAUGCCAACUAGUUUGCAAUAUUUAAAUCUUUCAGAAAAUUCUUUAAAAGAUGAUAUCAAUAAUCUGUGCAAUUUUUUAGCACAACCUAACAGCCUAACUCAUCUAGAUCUAAGUGGUACAGAUACUACUUUAGAAUGUCUGUUUGGUGCUUUACUACGAGGUUGUGCAACGAAUCUAGUCCAUUUAAAUGUUGCUCGUAACUCUUUUUCAAGCAAAAAGACCAAAGAAAUACCUCCCAGUUUUAAGCAAUUUUUUACAGCUACACUUUCAUUAAAGUACUUAAAUAUUUCUUGCUGCAAAUUGCCACUAGAAGCGUUAAAACACUUACUACUUGGUUUGGCAUGUAAUGAAAGUACGGUUGGUUUAGAACUUGAUAUGAGUGGAAAUAACUUAGGUUCUAUGGGUGCUCAUGUGUUAGAGUCAUGUAUCCACGGAGUUCGUUGUAUAGCAUCACUGGAUAUUUCAGAUAGUAAUAUGGAUGUUGAUUUAGCACAAGUAAUAACUGCAAUUGGAAAGAACAAAUCUAUAAAACAGUUAUAUAUGGGUCGGAAUACCGUUAGUAUGAAAAGUAAACAUAUUGCUGUUGUAAUGGAUGCUCUUGUGCAAAUGCUUCAAGAAGAUGAUUGUGUUUUGCAAGCAUUGCAUUUACCAGAUUCUCGAUUAAAAUCCGAUCUCUACAAUCUUAUUAAUGCUCUUGGUAGUAAUACAUGUCUUCAUACGUUAGAUAUUAGUGGAAACCAAAUUGGUGAUCCUGGUGCAAGAUUAUUAGCAAAGGCACUGCAAAUUAAUAAUCAUCUGAGAACAAUUAUUUAUGAUAAAAAUAAUAUUACACUUCAAGGUUAUGCUGACAUUGUUCAUGCUUUAGAAAAGAAUUGUAGUGUACGACAUAUGCCCUUUCCAAUUUAUGACUUGCAACCUUGUAUGAAAACAUCUGCAGAAAAAACCGAGCAGCUAGCUAAAAAAAUACAAGAUCUAUUGCAAAGAAAUGUUACACCAUGUAAAUAUAGUCACGGACAGGCAUUUAGAUUACAACAGGGAUUUUUGUUAAGCUCUACGCAACAGAUGGUCGAUAGACUUGUUGUACAAACUCAAGAUACUAUUAAAGCCAUUGCUGCAGAAAGCUGUGAUGCUAACAAUGAUAUUAAUUAUGCAACUGGUCUUAUACAAGACGCAGAUAAUUCAAAACAGCUUCUACCAAGGUUACAUGAAGUUCUUCAACGACGAGAUGAAAAUAACCCAAUUGAACUGAAAUUACAUGAAAUGGCAAAUGAACUUCAUAAAAUUGUAGCUUUAUACUUGCAGGAUUCAUUAGAUGCUAUGAUAAAAUGUACAAAUGAACAAUGCCCUACAAUAAUUUCACAAACCGUAAUUAGAGGAGAUGAGAGUGAAUCGAUCGCAAUAGAAGAUGAUUUGCGUAUCAGUUGCAAAGAAAAGAAUCAAAUUAGUAGUGAAUUUAUUCAUACUACGAUUACAGAACAAGCUGGAGCAGAUAUAGUCAAUAGAGUCAAUGAAUUAAAUUUAGCUGUUGCUGCUCAUAUAUCUGAUAGAAUCACAGAUGAAGUAAUCGAAUCAUUAUCAAGAAGCUAUAAAAAUCUGAUUGGGGAUUGUGAUAAUAGAACAAGAAGUAGUACACCAGAUGUAUUAAGACCUAGUGCUGGUUCAAUGAGUAGUGGAAGCGUUAUAGGGGUUACAAGUACUGUAGGUACAUCUACAACAUUACCCGUUGGUAGAACUAGUAUUGCAUCAGAAGAAGACUGUCCACCAGAAACUUAUUCACUUGUUAAUUCUAUUAGUCAACGUUCUAAUGACCAGUCUCCAAUGAAAUUGGAUUAUUUAAAUCUUGCAACGCCACAUCUGUCAAAUAAACGUAAAAGUUUACAUGGAAGAAAGUUACGGCCGAAAUCUGUAGUUGAUUCUGUUGAAGGACUUUCUGCUGAUGAUAUUCCGGACCUACUACCAUCACUACCAAAAAGUCAAGCAGAAGCUAUUUCAGAAACAGAACAUUCUUUAACAGAAUCACUAGAUUCUGUUUCUGAGUUGCCUAAUACCGUAGGACAACAAUUACAACAUUUAGUUAAAUCUAGACCUCGAAGAACAAAAACUAGAGCACCUACAAGACCAAUGUUGCGACCUGAUCAACCUAUAGAUGGUCUAGCUCUUGGAGAAGGUCUUGAUGUAUUCUUUCGACCAACUACACCAACUACGCCUCUUAUAUCUCCUACAAGUGAUGACAGCUCUUUACACACUUUUCCAACCGAUGGUAGUCCAAAUUUAUCUCUUACAAGUCACAAAAGUACUCCACCUGAUCUAGAUAAGAAACCUGCUUGUAAUUCACCAAUGUUAAAAACGCUUCUUGAACCUGCACCACGAUCACGCUCUAGUGAUAAUUUGGAGAAAUUUUCUCCCCUUGUUGGUAGAAGAUCUCAAGGGGAUUCACCAUUAACUGCGUCUCCAUUAGCACGACGGAACACAACCGAUAAUGCUCAAAACCAUGAAAGAAUAGCUUCAAAAUCCGAUAAUAAUAAAGAAACAUGUAGUAAUGUAUGUAAUAAUAGUAUCAGCAUUUCUGCUGAUGUAUCUAAGCGUAGCACAUUACCAAUUACUAGUUCUGGUACUAGUUCCCGUAAUUUACGGGAUUAUGAUGAAAAUAGUAAAAUGUUACAAAUAACUGCUGCAAAUUCUUCAGAUAAAGAUAUAGUAUCUAUUCCCAAAGAUUACGAAAACAGAAAAAGUUUAUCCAAAAAGUCUACGAUAGAUACGGAUAAGACUGUAAAUCAACCCCUACCUUCUCUUAAAUUAAGGUCAACAGGUUUUGAUCUUCGUAGUCCAACGAACGGUAGCAGUACAAAGAAUAAUUCAGAGUCAUCUAAAUCCCCAGUAUUAAAACCUUUAACCAAAGGAAAUAGUUCUAUUAAUGAUGGAAAAAAUAAUGGUGCUAUUCUGAAAACUAAGCCAACUCCACCUGCAACAGCACCAAAACCAAGGCCUUGGAGUAUGGCCACUGAUAGAAAAUCCGGCGAAUUUAAUUUAUUAAGCGACGGUUCUAGUCCAAAUACUUCAGCUGGAAAUACACCUGAUUCUGGAGAUGCUCUUGAUGAAUCAACUGAUAGCGGUGUAAGUGGCCCAGCUUCAUUACCACCAACACUGUCAGCAAGUAGCACGGCUAGUUCUUUAAGCAAUACUAGCGUCGAAAAACGAUCUGUGAGGGAACUGGCAGCUAGUUUAAAUAAGAGUAAACCAGAAAAGAAGGAAAAUGAUUACUGCAAACAUGCAUGUUAAACCCUUAAAUUAAGAAGCUUUGCUGUACAUAUUAUUUUAGAGCAUACCGCACCUGCAGCAUGGAGGUCGGUGCUUCAACGUUCUGUCAAGCAACCUGACGUCAAGGUAACGGAAGUGCCGAAAACGGUUGAAGAAAAUC